rnacentral:rRNA from 1 species
AUUGAACGCUGGCGGCAGGCCUAACACAUGCAAGUCGAGCGGAUGAAGGGAGCUUGCUCCUGGAUUCAGCGGCGGACGGGUGAGUAAUGCCUAGGAAUCUGCCUGGUAGUGGGGGAUAACGUCCGGAAACGGGCGCUAAUACCGCAUACGUCCUGAGGGAGAAAGUGGGGGACCUUCGGACCUCACGCUAUCAGAUGAGCCUAGGUCGGAUUAGCUAGUUGGUGGGGUAAAGGCCUACCAAGGCGACGAUCCGUAACUGGUCUGAGAGGAUGAUCAGUCACACUGGAUCUGAGACACGGUCCAGACUCCUACGGGAGGCAGCAGUGGGGAAUAUUGGACAAUGGGCGAAAGCCUGAUCCAGCCAUGCCGCGUGUGUGAAGAAGGUCUUCGGAUUGUAAAGCACUUUAAGUUGGGAGGAAGGGCAGUAAGUUAAUACCUUGCUGUUUUGACGUUACCAACAGAAUAAGCACCGGCUAACUUCGUG